rnacentral:rRNA from 1 species
AACGAACGCUGGCGGCAGGCUUAACACAUGCAAGUCGAGCGCCCCGCAAGGGGAGCGGCAGACGGGUGAGUAACGCGUGGGAACGUACCCUCUGCUACGGAAUAGCUCCGGGAAACUGGAAUUAAUACCGUAUGUGCCCUACGGGGGAAAGAUUUAUCGGCAAAGGAUCGGCCCGCGUUGGAUUAGCUAGUUGGUGGGGUAAUGGCCUAACAAGGCGACGAUCCAUAGCUGGUCUGAGAGGAUGAUCAGCCACAUUGGGACUGAGACACGGCCCAAACUCCUACGGGAGGCAGCAGUGGGGAAUAUUGGACAAUGGGCGCAAGCCUGAUCCAGCCAUGCCGCGUGAGUGAUGAAGGCCUUAGGGUUGUAAAGCUCUUUCACCGGAGAAGAUAAUGACGGUAUCCGGAGAAGAAGCCCCGGCUAACUUCGUGCCAGCAGCCGCCGUAACAC